UGGUGAUUGAUUGGGCUUCUUUAAUUUGAGCAGAGAACCACAUCACAUAGGGACUGGUGUUGCCUUCAUUGGAAUCCUUCUCGACUUUGCUCUUCAGUCUUAUGAUGUCUUUCGCUCUUUGGUCUUUCAAUUUUGCUUUUGGCGAACAGCACCAAGUCCCAUUGGGGAGUCUCCUAAUGGCUUGUGGAGUUUCCUUUCUUCUUCUCUUUACCAAUUGGGAUUAUUCAACAAGGCGCAACAAACAUGCAAACCAAGGAUGAAUGUCAGUGUUUACAGAGUUGAUCAUUUGUUACAUAUACCUUGGGAGGCCUCUUGCUAAUGUGGACCUGUGGCUAUUUAAUUAUAUCAGCAUCUCACAAGCUCUCAUGUUCCUGGGUGACUUCAAACUAUACAGGUCCUUACAUGAAGAUUUGUACCAAUCCAUGUUCCUUGUUCAGCUAGUUGGCACAAAUAUUGGCCAAGUUUCUACUUUUCCAUGGCAUAUAUGGUGGUUACUUUCAACCAUUGAUCAUAUCAUCAACACAGAACUUGGUAAUGAUGUUUUCUACAAUGCCUCAAUUACAAGUUUGAGUUUUGAAUAAUCUUGACUCUAAAAUUAGUUGGAAGUUUGUUGACAGUUGGAAAAAACAUCAAGACUGCAGCUUGGUUUCAACUCGAAGUCUUACUACUUUGUGCAUAAAAGAAUGUACUGUUAAU